UACGUAGGUGGCAAGCGUUGUCCGGAUUUACUGGGCGUAAAGCGCGCGUAGGCGGACCUGCAAGUCGGGGGUGAAAGCCCGAGGCUCAACCUCGGAACUGCCUUCGAUACUGCGGGUCUCGAGUCCGGGAGAGGUGAGUGGAAUUCCUAGUGUAGAGGUGAAAUUCGUAGAUAUUAGGAAGAACACCAGUGGCGAAGGCGGCUCACUGGCCCGGUACUGACGCUGAGGAGCGAAAGCGUGGGGAGCGAACAGG
rnacentral:rRNA from 1 species